rnacentral:lncRNA from 1 species
AAAAUCUCCAUGAGUGCUAAUGGCAUAAUGAAUGGGAAGAAACAAUAUAAAAAAAUGAAUACAGCAUUUUUACUGAAUAUGCCAAUAAUCUACAGAGUCUGUUGUCGUAUCUGGUCUCCCAGUGAAGCCUCUGAAGACAGAGGCACUGGUCUGUCUGUUGGCAUGAUGUUUUGAUGAAAGAAAAAGAAACAAAAGAAAGCAACUUCUUUUUUAACCAAGUUUGUAUUAGAAUUUUAUAGCUGCAACAAAAUGCAGAGCACUGAAGUCUAAGUGAAACUUAAGCAGCAAACUGGUACAUUGAAAGUGGCAUCAGUAUUAAAUUCAUCUUCCCUUUAAUGAUCUGGGUUUCAGAUAUUGCUUCCAGAACACAUGCUGAAGACCCCUAACCCUUGUGCAAAUCCUGAAGAUGCAUCCUUGGAAGCAUGCACUUUUUCUGUGAUAGAAAGGGAAAAUGCAGCCUUCUGCUUUACUGGAGUUUGCAAGGACACAGUAUAUUUGCUUAAGAGGGCACUCUACUGGCUACUUUUUGGAAGUUUCUUGCUCCUUCUGCCUGCUGGCUCUGACAUCCCCAUUCCAGAGGAAGUGAAAUGCAGCAUCUCUUCUAAGAGGGAGCGUUGGAGGUGGUGACAUCUGAAGACUGAGGAGCUCAAGGGAACUUCUCAUACUGUCCUAGUGCUUGGGAAGGACCUUGAAAUGUCCCUGCCUCCACAGAAGUAUUCUGAGAAUUACCAUAGAGCACUUUGGAGUCAGGGAAGACCUCCCUCAGAACUCCAUUGAAGAGCAGCAACUAGAAGACCAAGAACUGGUGCUUCCAAGGCCUCCAGGCUCAUGGAACUAUAAAAGGGAAUGUAGGGGGCAUAGGAUUUUUGAGCUGACGCAGUGCAGAUGUUGGGGACUGAAAUGGAGCAUCUGAACCUGAUGGACCUAUAUUGCAAAAUGUGUGUUUAUCAGUGGUUAAUAAUUUAAUUCUCCAUGUAAUAAUGUAAGGAACUUUCAAACCUUCUAUCUAGUUUGACAUGUUCAUAUCAGCAGUCCCAUUCUGCACAGCUCUCUGGUGAGCUAAAUCUUCUUUUCUGGCAUUAUUCCAAAUAUUUCUAAGGGGGGAAAAAUUCAUGUGAUAUCCUUUCCAGCUACACUAUGGAGGACAAUAAACACUUCCAUCAAGGUUAAAACUUCCCUUUC